rnacentral:rRNA from 1 species
CGGUUACCUUGUUACGACUUAACGAACGCUGGCGGCAGGCUUAACACAUGCAAGUCGAACGCCCUCUUCGGAGGGAGUGGCAGACGGGUGAGUAACACGUGGGAACCUACCUAGGGGUACGGAAUAACUCGGGGAAACUCGUGCUAAUACCGUAUACGACCUUCGGGUGAAAGAUUUAUCGCCCCUAGAUGGGCCCGCGCUGGAUUAGCUAGUUGGUGGGGUAAAAGCUCACCAAGGCGACGAUCCAUAGCUGGUCUGAGAGGAUGAUCAGCCACACUGGGACUGAGACACGGCCCAGACUCCUACGGGAGGCAGCAGUGGGGAAUCUUGGACAAUGGGCGCAAGCCUGAUCCAGCCAUGCCGCGUGAGUGAUGAAGGCCUUAGGGUUGUAAAGCUCUUUCGCCAGGGAAGAUAAUGACUGUACCUGGAUAAGAAGCCCCGGCUAACUCNGUGCCAGCAGCCGCNGGUNAAUACGGANGGGGGNCUAGCGUUGUUCGGNAAUUACUGGGCGUAAAGCGCACGUAGGCGGCUUUCCAAGUUGGGGGNUGAAAUCCCUGGGCUUAACCCAGGAACUGCCCUCAAAACUGGAAGGCUAGAGUCCGAGAGAGGUGAGUGGAAUUUCCAGUGUAGAGGUGAAAUUCGUAGAUAUUGGAAAGAACACCAGUGGCGAAGGCGGCUCACUGGCUCGGUACUGACGCUGAGGUGCGACAGCGUGGGGAGCAAACAGGAUUAGAUACCCUGGUAGUCCACGCCGUAAACGAUGGGUGCUAGUUNGUCAGGCAGCUUGCUGUUUGGUGACGCAGCUAACGCAUUAAGCACCCCGCCUGGGGNAGUACGGUCGCNAAGAUUAAAACUCAAAGGAAUUGACGGGGGNCCCGCACAAGCGGNUGGAGCAUGUGGUUUNAANUUCGAAGCAACGCGCAGAANCCUUACCNAACCCUUNGACAUCUGGGUCGCGGNNUUUCCAGAGAUGGAUUCCUUCAGUUCGGCUGGACCCAAGACAGGUGUUGCAUGGCUGUCGCCAGCUCGUGUCGUGAGAUGUUGGGUUAAGUCCCGCAACGAGCGCAACCCUCGCCUUUAGUUGCCAUCAUUAAGUUGGGCACUCUAGAGGGACUGCCGAUGAUAAGUCGGAGGAAGGUGGGGAUGACGUCAAGUCCUCAUGGCCCUUACGGGUUGGGCUACACACGUGCUACAAUGGCGGCGACAAUGGGCAGCGAAGGGGCGACCCGGUGCAAAUCCCAAAAAGCCGUCUCAGUUCGGAUUGUACUCUGCAACUCGAGUGCAUGAAGGUGGAAUCGCUAGUAAUCGCGUAACAGCAUGACGCGGUGAAUACGUUCCCGGGCCUUGUACACACCGCCCGUCACACCAUGGGAGUUGGUUUUACCCGAAGCCGGUGCGCUAACCGCAAGGAGGCAGCCGACCACGGUAAGGUCAGCGACUGGGGUGCUGAGCCAGGAUCAAACUCU